rnacentral:rRNA from 1 species
UACGUAGGGUGCAAGCGUUGUCCGGAAUUAUUGGGCGUAAAGAGCUCGUAGGCGGUCUGUCACGUCGGCUGUGAAAACCCGGGGCUCAACCCCGGGCCUGCAGUCGAUACGGGCAGACUAGAGUGCGGUAGGGGAGACUGGAAUUCCUGGUGUAGCGGUGAAAUGCGCAGAUAUCAGGAGGAACACCGGUGGCGAAGGCGGGACUCUGGGCCGUAACUGACGCUGAGGAGCGAAAGCGUGGGGAGCGAACAGG